rnacentral:rRNA from 1 species
GUGGGGAAUUUUGGACAAUGGGCGAAAGCCUGAUCCAGCCAUGCCGCGUGCAGGAUGAAGGCCUUCGGGUUGUAAACUGCUUUUGUACGGAACGAAACGGCUCUUUCUAAUAAAGGGGGUCCAUGACGGUACCGUAAGAAUAAGCACCGGCUAACUACGUGCCAGCAGCCGCGGUAAUACGUAGGGUGCAAGCGUUAAUCGGAAUUACUGGGCGUAAAGCGUGCGCAGGCGGUUAUAUAAGACAGAUGUGAAAUCCCCGGGCUCAACCUGGGAACUGCAUUUGUGACUGUAUAGCUAGAGUACGGUAGAUGGGGAUGGAAUUCCGCGUGUAGCAGUGAAAUGCGUAGAUAUGCGGAGGAACACCGAUGGCGAAGGCAAUCCCCUGGACCUGUACUGACGCUCAUGCACGAAAGCGUGGGGAGCAAACAGGAUUAGAUACCCGGGUAGUCC